rnacentral:rRNA from 1 species
CAAUAGCGUAUAUUUAAGUUGUUGCAGUUAAAAAGCUCGUAGUUGGAUUUCGGAUGGGACUUGCCGGUCCGUCGUUUCGAUGUGCACUGGCCAGUCCUAUCUUGUUGUCGGGGACUAGCUCCUGGGCUUCACUGUCCGGGACUAGGAGCUGACGAGGUUACUUUGAGUAAAUUAGAGUGUUCAAAGCAAGCCUACGCUCUGAAUACAUUAGCAUGGAAUAACACGAUAGGACUCUGGCUUAUCUUGUUGGUCUGUGAGACCAGAGUAAUGAUUAAGAGGGACAGUCGGGGGCAUUCGUAUUUCAUUGUCAGAGGUGAAAUUCUUGGAUUUAUGAAAGACGAACUUCUGCGAAAGCAUUUGUCAAGGAUGUUUUCAUUAU